UACGGAGGGAGCUAGCGUUGUUCGGAAUUACUGGGCGUAAAGCGCGCGUAGGCGGCUUUGUAAGUUAGAGGUGAAAGCCCGGGGCUCAACUCCGGAACUGCCUUUAAGACUGCAUCGCUUGAAUCCGGGAGAGGUGAGUGGAAUUCCGAGUGUAGAGGUGAAAUGCGCAGAUAUCAGGAGGAACACCGGUGGCGAAGGCGGUGGCCUGGGCCGGAACUGACGCUGAGGAGCGAAAGCGUGGGGAGCAAACAGG
rnacentral:rRNA from 1 species